UACGUAGGGUGCAAGCGUUGUCCGGAAUUAUUGGGCGUAAAGAGCUCGUAGGCGGCUUGUUGCGUCGGAUGUGAAAGCUCGGGGCUUAACCUUGGGUCUGCAUUCGAUACGGGCAGGCUGGAGUUCGGUAGGGGAGAUCGGAAUUCCUGGUGUAGCGGUGAAAUGCGCAGAUAUCAGGAGGAACACCGGUGGCGAAGGCGGAUCUCUGGGCCGAUACUGACGCUGAGGAGCGAAAGCGUGGGGAGCGAACAGG
rnacentral:rRNA from 1 species